AUUGAACGCUGGCGGCAGGCCUAACACAUGCAAGUCGAGCGGAUGAAGGGAGCUUGCUCCUGGAUUCAGCGGCGGACGGGUGAGUAAUGCCUAGGAAUCUGCCUGGUAGUGGGGGAUAACGUCUGGAAACGGGCGCUAAUACCGCAUACGUCCUGAGGGAGAAAGUGGGGGAUCUUCGGACCUCACGCUAUCAGAUGAGCCUAGGUCGGAUUAGCUAGUUGGUGGGGUAAAGGCCUACCAAGGCGACGAUCCGUAACUGGUCUGAGAGGAUGAUCAGUCACACUGGAACUGAGACACGGUCCAGACUCCUACGGGAGGCAGCAGUGGGGAAUAUUGGACAAUGGGCGAAAGCCUGAUCCAGCCAUGCCGCGUGUGUGAAGAAGGUCUUCGGAUUGUAAAGCACUUUAAGUUGGGAGGAAGGGCGGUAAGUUAAUACCUUGCUGUUUUGACGUUACCAACAGAAUAAGCACCGGCUAACUUCGUG
rnacentral:rRNA from 1 species